CAGAAGUCCACGGGAGGGCUCUAAGUCCCCGCUGUUCUUUUUGUUUAAAUGCUGCUUUUUCUUUCCUUGCUCACCUGUCAGCCAUCCUGGGGGCCUUUUCCACCAUUCUUAAAUUAUUAGACAGUCAAGAUUACUCCCUGCUUUUACCCAGAGUCAACACUUUGAAAAAUUCAGAGCUUUUUUGGUGACUUCCAGCAAGGAGAGGGCCUAAUUUUGAAUUUCUUACCCAGGUGGAGAUCCAAGGCAGGUGGAGAUCCAAGGCAGGUCGGCGUCUUAAAGGGACGCGCACCCAGAGACACUUAGGCAAAUGUGGAGAUCCAAGGCAGGUCAGGCUUCUUGAAGAGACACACACCUAGACACUUGGGCAAAUGUGGGGAUCCAAGGCAGGUCGGGCUUCUUCUGUUCACACUUCUUCCGUGUAUAGCUAAUCCCUUCCACCUGGUCCCCAUAAAGAAGGUGGUUUGUCUGCAAGAGAUUUCGACUAAUGGGAUACGAAAAUAAGCUGUUUAAACCAACUGGACUAUGACAUGGAUUGGUUUUGCUCCUUCAACGCAGAGGGAUUACAGGACGAGCCAGGCGUGAAUUCAGUCCCUCUGAAGUAAAGAGGAUUUUGCGUUGGAUCCCUUUUGCCUUUGCCCAGUGCAUCCUGGCCAUCCCCCCUGCCGACCACUGAGGGUCCUGCUUUUGUUUGUCUUUCCAUGGUGUGCACGUCUGCCUCAUCGCCUUUAGUUAAACCCUUUUGGACUCAUUAAAGAUUGUUCUAUUUUUGUAA